CCUACGGGAGGCAGCAGUGGGGAAUAUUGCGCAAUGGGCGAAAGCCUGACGCAGCGACGCCGCGUGAGGGAUGAAGGUCUUCGGAUCGUAAACCUCUGUCAGCAGGGAAGAACGGUCACUGGGCUAAUCAGCAGUGAAUUGACGGUACCGGCAAAGGAAGCACCGGCUAACUCCGUGCCAGCAGCCGCGGUAAUACGGAGGGGGCGAGCGUUAGUCGGAAUUACUGGGCGUAUAGCGCUCGUAGGCGGGAUGUCAAGUCAAGGGUGAAAUCCCCGCGCUCAACGUUGGAACUGCCUUUGAAACUUGCAAACUGGAGUGUGUGUGAGGUUAGUGGAAUUCCAGGUGU
rnacentral:rRNA from 1 species